GUUAAAUAAAGGUGAAAUAAAAUACAGAAUAAAGGGAGGGUCUGUGCGGAAGAUUAGGUUACUGACGUUCCCGUUUUUGUAGCAGUCAGCAAAAGGUGUUUCUGGAUUGUCCAUGAGGAGCUUCUCUCUGUACUCUCUCGGUGCCUUGUCACGUUUAAUAUCUAAGGGGUACUGUACUGUGGUGAUCCCUUCACAGUGCCCUGUAGAUGAUGUGGAGGGGGUUACCCUGUAUAUGUCCUUGUAAAAUAAUCAACCUUUUAUACAACCCUCAGUCUAUCUUUUGGAAAAACAUGCUGAACAAUUCGGGAGCUCAUCUGCUCAUUAACUCUCUAUCUUUCCACUCUCUCUCUCGUUUCUCUCUCGUUUCUCUCUCUCUCUCGGUUCUCUUUUGAUUUUCUCUCUUGUUUCUCUCUCUAGAGUUUUUAGCCACCACUUGUUGAAGCUGUGUAAGCUCCACCCCUCUCUGGUUGUGGACCAAUCACGGGAGCUGCUGGAGUUUGCUGGAACCACCACUAACAUCCACAGCAAAGAAGACCUGUACACACAUGUGGUGUGGGUGCUAGGUGAGUACCUGUCGGUGUCAUUUGACUCUCGGUGUUCCGUGGAUCUGGUUACUUCCUGUUUCGAGGCAUUGGAGGCAGUCCUCUUCGAGAUCACUUCCUCUGGAAGCCCCUCCCCCAGGGUGGUUACCUCCUUACUGAGCGCGCUCGCUAAACUGGCUUCCCGUUCCCACGACCUCAUACCCAGGUAACACACACACACACACACAAUGGGCUUCCCAUUCCCACGACCUCAUACCCAGGUAACACACACACACACAAUGGGCUUCCCAUUCCCACGACCUCAUACCCAGGUAACACACACACACACAAUGGGCUUCCCGUUCCCACGACCUCAUACCCAGGUAACACACACACACACACACAAUGGGCUUCCCAUUCCCACGACCUCAUACCCAGGUAACACACACACACACAAUGGGCUUCCCAUUCCCACGACCUCAUACCCAGGUAACACACACACAUACAAUGGGCUUCCCAUUCCCACGACCUCAUACCCAGGUAACACACACACAAUGGGCUUUCAGAGUGUUGCAUUAUAGGUUUGAAAUGGAACUUCAAGUCGCUCUAGUAGCUCCCUACCUACUGCACCAUGCAGCCAUCAGGCCUACAGGCUCACUGCUGUAGUAGCUCCCUACCUACUGUACCAUGCAGCCAUCAGGCCUACAGGCUCACUGCUGUAGUAGCUCCCUACCUACUGUACCAUGCAGCCAUCAGGCCUACAGGCUCACUGCUGUAGUAGCUCCCUACCUACUGUACCAUGCAGCCAUCAGUCCUACUGCACCAUGCAGCCAUCAGGCCUACAGGCUACAGUCACAAAUUACACACACUACAGCCAGUCACUACAGCCGUUCGUGUGUGUGUGUGUGUGUGUGUGUAGGGUUUCUCUGUUCCUCUCUAAGCUUCGUAGCGGAGCAGUCUCCUGGUGUGGCAGUGAGGAGGAUGUUGUCGCCGUAGUGACCAGAGGGGAGGAGUUAUGGUCGCUGCUGAAACUUCCGAGCGUGGCGCUGAGUGUUCUAACCCCGCCUUCCCUCGCCACCUCCCCCGCUGGCACCGAGACGCCAACGCAACGCUGCCACCUCGACUCAGAACACUGACUGGCCUCACACACACACGCUAAAAUAUAAUCACACAUAGACCUUAAAUCAUUUAUGUUCAAGAAAUGUACUGUAUGUUUUCAAUAUCUUGUUAUUAUACAGUGAGGGCCAAAAGUAUUGGGACAGUGACAUAUUUUUGUUGUUGUGCACAACAUAAUCUGAAACACAACCAAAACAAACAGGAAAUACAUCCAACACGUUUGUAAAGUUACAAGCUUGAUGUAGUUAUUGAGUGCUAAGAAUAUGGGACCAAAUACUAAACAUUUGACUGAUGUACUACACAAGUGAAUUUUUCCCAAUGCUUUUGGUCCCCUAAAAUGGGGGGGAAUAUGUACAAAAAUGCUGUAAUUUCUAAAUGUUUCACCUGAUAUGGACGGGAAUAGCCUCAAAUUAAAGCUGACAUUCUGCACUUUAACCUCAGUCAUUGUAUCAACGUGGUGGAGUACAGAGCCUAAACAACAACAACGUGUUCCAAUACUUUGAGCUCACUGUGUUUGUUUACUCACACAGACACAUGUUUUAUAGAUCUCUUUUAAUCAACAGUUUCUCUGAUAGAAGAUCCUAGAUAUAGGACUGACUGAGCCAUCUAGUUAUAGUUAGCUCAGUCAGUCCUGUCUAGUAUAUCUAUAAUGACAGACAUCUACAGUGCCUUCAGAAAGUAUACAUUUUGUGUUACAGCCUGAAUUUAAAUGUAAAGGUGUCAGUAUAAAGGUACCACAGUGUUACUCCUUAAAGGUGUCAGUAUAAAGGUACCACAGUAUUACUCCUUAAAGGUACCACAGUAUUACUC